rnacentral:rRNA from 1 species
GACGAACGCUGGCGGCGUGCUUAACACAUGCAAGUCGAACGCUGAAGCCCUUUCGGGGGUGGAUGAGUGACGAACGGGUGAGUAACACGUGGGUAAUCUGCCCUGUACUUCGGGAUAAGCCUUGGAAACGGGGUCUAAUACCGGAUAGGACCUGUCCUCGCAUGGGGGUGGGUGGAAAGUUCCGGCGGUAUGGGAUGAGCCCGCGGCCUAUCAGCUUGUUGGUGGGGUAGUGGCCUACCAAGGCGACGACGGGUAGCCGGCCUGAGAGGGUGACCGGUCACACGGGGACUGAGACACGGCCCAGACUCCUACGGGAGGCAGCAGUGGGGAAUCUUGCGCAAUGGGCGAAAGCCUGACGCAGCAACGCCGCGUGGGGGAUGACGGCCUUCGGGUUGUAAACCUCUUUCGACAUCGACGAAGGGGCCCUGUUGUGGGGUUUUGACGGUAGGUGUAGAAGAAGCACCGGCUAACUACGUGCCAGCCGCCGCAGUAA